GGAUGAACGCUAGCGGCAGGCUUAACACAUGCAAGUCGAGGGGCAACACGGGUAGCAAUACCUGGUGGCGACCGGCGCAAGGGUGCGUAACGCGUGAGCAACAUACCCUAUACAGGGGGAUAAUCCAGGGAAACUUGGUCUAAUAUCCCAUAGGAUUUACAGAUGUCAUCAUCUAUAAAUUAAAGCUUCGGUGGUAUAGGAUUGGCUCGCGUGACAUUAGCUAGAUGGUGGGGUAACGGCCUACCAUGGCCAUGAUGUCUAGGGGUUCUGAGAGGAAGACCCCCCACACUGGGACUGAGACACGGCCCAGACUCCUACGGGAGGCAGCAGUGAGGAAUAUUGGACAAUGGAUGGAAAUCUGAUCCAGCCAUGCCGCGUGCAGGAAGACGGCCCUAUGGGUUGUAAACUGCUUUUAUAUGGGAGCAAUAAGGUCUACGCGUAGACCGAUGAGAGUACCAUAUGAAUAAGCAUCGGCUAACUCCGUGCCAGCAGCCGCGGUAAUACGGAGGAUGCGAGCGUUAUCCGGAUUUAUUGGGUUUAAAGGGUGCGUAGGCGGCCUUAUAAGUCAGCGGUGAAGUUUUGCAGCUUAACUGUAACAGUGCCGUUGAUACUGUAGGGCUAGGAUUUGGUUGCUGUGGGUGGAAUGUGUGGUGUAGCGGUGAAAUGUUUAGAUAUCACACAGAAUAUCGAUUGCGAAGGCAGCUCACAAAGCCAAGAUUGACGCUGAGGCACGAAAGUGUGGGGAUCAAACAGGAUUAGAUACCCUGGUAGUCCACACUGUAAACGAUGAUAACUCGCUGCCGGCGAUACACAGUCGGUGGCCAAGCGAAAGCGAUAAGUUAUCCACCUGGGGAGUACGACCGCAAGGUUGAAACUCAAAGGAAUUGACGGGGGCCCGCACAAGCG
rnacentral:rRNA from 1 species